rfam:Gossypium hirsutum cultivar TM-1 chromosome 24, whole genome shotgun sequence
UGUUAAAAUUCUAUCUAUUUGUAUUGUUAAAAACUGACAUAAUUGAUAGAAUAACCAAACAGUUAUACAUGAUGUGUCACAUAUAUCUCUUGUUGACGAAUAGAGACUAACUUUUAACCUUAAAAAUAAAUAAUUUUUUUAACA